GGAGAGAGAGAAGGAAGAACAUGAGAGGAGGGAGAAAGAGAGAGGAAAGAGGAGAGGGGGUCGACGGCCAACAGGAGAGGACCACCGGAAGGAGUGCCGCCGGCUCGUUGUCUUCCACCGCCGGCGUCGGCCUGCACCGGCGAGGUCGGGCGGGACCUUGCUUCCAGGGCGGCUUGAUCACAGUCUACAGGUGACCACGUCCCUUCUCUCCCUCUCUAUGUCAUUUCUUCUCCUUUCUCACACGAAGAAACACACAGAACAGUAAAAAUGGAGGAUUUGGGGGCUGCUCAGUUUUGGAGUAGCAAACCAUGGAGGAUAUGGGGCUGCACGUGCUUGGAGCAGCAAGCCAUGGCAAAGAAGGUGAAUAAGCAACACAUACAUGUACUGCUCAAAAGAUGCAUGUUUGGAAAUUUUGUUUUUUGUUCUUAAGAUUUCUUUCAAUUGAUCUGUACCUAGCAAUCCCGUGUGCUUGCAAUCACAUAUAGUUUUGGCCAUGUUGCUACGAGGAAGCUUCCUUCAAUUGAAUCGAUCCUCUCAUUAGCUCAUGGAGGGCAUUGGCAGGAACAGAGUGGUCAACUGAAUCUGAUUGUUCAUAUAUUCUAUGGCUAUAUCAGUGCUUAUCUCAGUUACAUGAUUUCUUUUGCAGUACUGCCAGGGGUUGCUGUUUGUUUACUGAAGGGGGUGUUGAUCUGCUGCCCCUUGUUCUACACUCUGUCCAAGUAUGAAUUUGGAUGCAUGCUUACAAAGAAUUAUCUGAUUACAUGUUUGAUGCUCUCUAAAAAAUUGCUACAAAGAUUCAUAAGAAACUUCUCGUGAUAGAUUUACCAUUUGGGAUAUUUCCAAAUGUUUACUUUUAAUUCAUUAGCAUAUGCAUAUCCUCUGUUUUUUAAUUCAUUGUUGCCUCCUGUUUAUUGUUUAUGUUUGCCUUCUGGUGCUUCUGGUGUAUGGGCAAAACAAGUCUGAGUACAAAGUGGUGAAUUGCAUUUCACAUGCCAAUAUAAACAAAGAAUAAAAAAGAAAACAUGGUAUUCUCUAACACAAGAGCAUGAUACCUUGGGUCCAUUGGUGCAGACCAAGAGCAAAAAACUACCUAUGCUGCAAUAGCUUUAGUGGAAGUACAGUCAGGUGUUUAUUUUUUUUACAGUUUUACCUAAUUGGCUGGUUAUCCACUUUAUCUUUUGUACCUGCACAUAUAAUCGAUUCGCUGGCCCAUACUUGCAUGUUCCAUAAUUAUCUUGGAGUGCUAGCAAGUAAUUAGAACAUAUUCUUGGUCCAUACUUGCAUUAGAAUAUGCCACAUAGAAGAAGGUGGCAUAUCUUGGGAUAAGAAUGGCCACAUGAGCAUUCUGUCAUGAUAUUGUAAUUAGUGAUCGAUACUUGUGGCAGUACUGCAAUGAUGAUAUGUUGCAUGUUUGCACAUGAUGUCUGUAAAUUCUUGAUCUUCGUCGUGUCUCCUGCUUACUAAUAGUUCAACUGAACCAAUCUUUUUGGUCUUAUUGCUAUGCGCUUAUGAUUAAUUGGCUCUAUUUCUUGGUUGUUGUAUUGUAGGAUAGGGAGGCAGAAGAGAGGACAUGUUGAAGAAUCAAGGGGGACAACCACUAUUCAGUUUUUCUUUGUUAUUGCAUUACAGGAUUGUAGGGUGUUCAGAUUUUAAAUGCUGGCAUUGAUCGAGCUGUUAACUAGUUUUUAGUUCUGAUUAGAUGCGAAUCAUGUUUUAAUUAUGAUGAGAUGCAGAAAUUGUUGAGACAGGGCAUGAAUGGUAUAUAUUUUAGCCGUGCUUUUAUUCCCUUUUGCCCUUUCCAAAGGGACUACUCUACUUUUGUUGACCAUUAGUAUAUAUUUUUCAGAUCCAGAUCCAUUUAUCUAAUGAGAGGUGUAUCAGAGAAAUAAAAAAUAUAUUGAACUACAGUUCGUGACUUUAUGCGAAGAAUUCUAAGGGAGCAAGUCAUUUUACUGGGGCUAAUAAACCCAUACCCCGCAUCUUGUCUGCCCCGGGUGCGGAGGCGAGCUUCCCGGCGAUGGCGGCAGCGCUGGAUUCGAUCUGCAGGAGAGACAGGGAGGUGCGGCUUCAAAUGGGAGAGGGUCUUGAGACAGCUUCACAAGUAUUUAUGAUGAUCGUUUGCAUGGUGGGUCGUGCUAGCAAUGUGCUUUGCAUAUACAUGAUUCAAAUAUUUGUUAGGUGUUUUAGUUUACACAUUUCUCCUGAAAAUCUGUAUAUGUGUAUGCAGUCAUUUUUUAAUUGGCUACGAUUCUUUUUAGUAUUUUAGUUUACACAUUUCUCUUGAGAAUCUUCAU
rnacentral:lncRNA from 1 species